GGAAGGAAGGAAGGAAGGAAGGAAGGAAGGAAGGAAGGAAGGAAGGAAGGAAGGAAGGAAGGAAGGAAGGAAGGAAGGAAGGAAAGAAAGAUCUCUUGCAGCCCGAUCCGACCAGCCGGCUAUGACUUGGGAGUGGCGAACUUGGAAAACCUUGGCUGGCCAACGAGAGGAUGGCAUUCGUUCACGAGCCAGAUGGAAAUUAAGUCCUGCUCUGGAAACCAGAGCGAGGGAGAUAAGGCGGAAAGGAGGCAAGAGCAAGACGGGACGGGAGAAGUGGAAAGAAAAGCAGCUGCUGCUAGCAAUUCGAUUCUCGGGUUUUGAAUGACGCCUUUGGAGCGAUCCACUAAGAAAGGCCACCAGCCCAACCGGGAGAGCGCCGCGCAGAUCCAGAAGAGCGCGCAAGGGAUGCAGAGGAGCGCAAGCUGAUCCAGACAAGCUUCCCCUAACAGAGUUGGAAGGGACCUUGGAGGUCAUCUAGUCCAACUCCCUGCUCACGCAGGAGAUCCGUACGAGGGAUUCGAACCGCCGACCUUUCUGACCGACAAGCUCAGUGUCUGGAUGA